rnacentral:rRNA from 1 species
GAAUAAUAAGAUAGGACUUCGGAACUAUUUUGUUGGUUUGCGUUACGAAGUAAUGAUUAAUAGGGACAGUUGGGGGUAUUCGUAUUUCGUUGUCAGAGGUGAAAUUCUUGGAUUUCCGAAAGACGAACUACUGCGAAAGCAUUUACCAAGGAUGUUUUCAUUAAUCAAGAACGAAAGUUAGGGGAUCGAAGAUGAUUAGAUACCAUCGUAGUCUUAACCAUAAACUAUGCCGACUCGGGAUUGGCGGUUGUUUUUUGACUCCGUCAGCACCGUAUGAGAAAUCAAAGUCUUU